rnacentral:pre_miRNA from 1 species
AAAGUACUCCCUCGUCCCCAAAUUCUUGUCUUAGAUUUGUCUAGAUACGGAUGUAUCUAAUACUAAAACAUGACUUGAUACAUCCGUAUUUAGACAAAUUUAAGACAAGAAUUUUGGGACGGAGGGAGUAUAUA